GCUCCAGUUCCACCGUCUUAUAUUCAAGUGGCCAGCUCUGCCAAUGUGCUCUCAAAUGGGGAACGAUCAUUGAAUAAAUAAUUAUUGCAUGAUCAAUUAGCAUAUGUACCCUUUGCUCAAUAUCCACAAUUUGUUUUCUCCUUUUUCAAUAUCCAGGUGCUAACGACCUUGGUAUUCCAAAGGCUCAGCUUGAGGCCCAUGAGAUAUCUUUACAACAACAAAUUGAGGUCAUGAAAUGUGACAUACAACUCAUAUGGAGUCGAAUUCUUUUGAUACUGCAAUUGAUUUAGCUGUGCCUACACUCAAAUUGAAAAGGUUUCCACUGCUUGACCAUUAUAAGGUUCAUUAUAGAAAACAAGUUCAAGCUCUCUUUCUCCUAUAUAAAAUAAUUGCAAUGAAUCAUAUUGUUACAAUAUGUUUUGUCGUGCAAUCUAUGCUAAACUCCUUCCAGUUUCUAUGAAUUCUUCCAAAGUAAGUAGAGUUAUUGACAUUCUCUUAUCUUUAUUAUAUAUAGUAACAUACAAUACAACAAGAGGCCCUUUCUGGUUUUCACGUAUCAUUGUUGCUCAUCUUUGUUUCGCCCUUAAAAACAAGGUAUCAAGGUUAAAAUGAAUUUCAAAAUUAUAAGUCAGCAGUUUCCUACUCUAUGUAUAGUGGGAUGGUGCACUGGAAAAGGAAAUGUAUAUGAGCCAGAAACUUUUGUCAUAACCGAUGAUGUUAGACUUUGUAAUUUUAAAAUCAGAUGCACAUCUGAAUAAACUAUGAUUCUGAUGUUAUGGAGAUGGCAAAUAAUGCCAUUGUAGCUGAUUGUUGAGUUUUUACUUUUUGAGAAUGCUGGUGAGACAUUCCAAGCAGGAGCCAUGUAUCUGAAAGAAAUUGGUGUUGAAGUUAGGAGGUUGAGUGUUGUAAAGUGUAUAAGUUUCAUGUUAAAAGGAAUUCUGAGAAGUCAUUUUCUGUUGUAAUUAAGAUUUUAACCUAAUAAUAUUGGUAGCUUAUAUUUGUACUACACAUUAUUGUGCUCUUAUUAGCAA